AAUGUAGCCAAUUUAGUUUCAUAUUUAUAUUUAAAUAUUGGGCUAUUGCCUAUUAUUAUUAUUAUUAUUAUUAUUAUUAUUAUUAUUUUAAAUUUCACCUAUGUUCAUUAGGAAUAGCAUGAUGCGCAAUGUUGGGAGACAUGCAGCGGGUCAGACAUGAGUUCGACCACUUCAUUAAGUUUAGUUUUAUAGUAAGUCUUUCUUUAAAGUGAAUUUCGUUUUGUAGAAAUUGUAUCUUAAUUUCAAUCAAUGUUUCAUCAACCAAUUGCCUAUAUUUAAUAAUUAGGAAGAAAACCAUGAACGUCGGGUGUGGUAUGGAUUGCGUAACAAACGAACUCAUGUUUCCGUGGCCUUUAAAUAAGGCUGAAUCAAUAUAUGUCUUUCUGUUUUAAUUAAAUGUAUUACUUUGUCUUUAUUACUUAAAUAAUUGAUAAGAUGUUUUUGGUCGAACAAUAUAUUUUAGCUGGUCUAGUUAGACACAAAUUUGUGUAGUGGCUUAUUGUGCAAACGUUUUUUUUUUUUCCUACCACAUGCCAAACUCAUAACAUUUCUUGCAGAUUAAAAAAAAAAAAAAAAAAAAAAAAAAAAAACACGACGCCGACUUUUAAAAAUCCUUCCUUGCUCCAGUCAAAACUUCGCACAUACUCUGCUCGGCAGCAGCAGACGCUGGCAAACACGCGGGGGGAGGGUUGAUCCCAUUCGGAACUUCUGCAAAUCCCCAUAACACAAACAAAUAAAGAAACUUACUGCAAAUACUCAUAACAGAGUCUAAUGUAACCCAGGUCAUUAACCUAGGUCACUAGCAUUUAUUUGCAAUUUUAUAUAACUAUUAUUGUCAUAAAAUAUAUAAAUAUAUAAAAAAAGAAAGAAGAAAAAUGCAGUAAAAUUGCUUUAUAAAUUAAAUUUAGAAAUGCUCUUGAGCCGAUUGCUCAUUGGUGAGGUGAAAAGUUAGUCCCGCCCCUUGCCGAAAGUUAGCGGACAAGCAGGCAGAACGAGAGUGAACUUGAACGAGAGAAGACGCAGUUGCACAAAUUGUGAUUAAAAUCCUUUGUUUAAUAAUCCAGCGAUAGAUUAUUAACAAGUUGAAUUUAUAUCUGUGAUUAUAUAACUUUUAGAAACUCGACUGUUUGAGAAUAGUAUUGUGUGACGACGUUUGAACCGGACAUGAUGAGACUGACGCAAUAAGAUAUAAUAUACAUCUUUUCCGGGGAGAAACAACUUUAUUUUUGUUUUCUGAUUUAUACUUCUCCUUGGCUGGUUUUUUUUUUUUCUUUGUGAGAAUUGUGUUCCUGAAUCCUGUCCUUGCUGAAUAUUCGCAUUCCGGUCGGGACUGGCGAGCCAUUCCAUCCUCUCGUACCUGGAAACAGAGAAAAGAGCGUGAAGUCUGCCGAACUGGUAGGAUCAAACAAAAGAGCGCGAAGUCUGCCGAACUGGUAGGAUCAAACAAAAGAGCGUGAAGCCUGCCGAACUGGUAGGAUCAAACUAUUUUUGCUUUGAUUUUUCUGUUAUUUCUCCCGAGUUUUUUCUAUCUGGAUCUUCGGUGGAUAGAAACAUUGUUUUUUCUCUCUCCUGGAUUACAUUUUUUCUUCCACUUUUUGAUGAACAUUGCUUUAUACUCUUGAAUUUGAAAUUGAGACACUGAACUUAAACUCAACUGGACAUUUAGACUGAGUUGAAUGCAAAAACUGAAGCUCAUUGUGAAACAGAUUUCAAAAAUAUUUCAAAUCUGAACGUCUCAAAACUGAGACACUGAUUUUGAAAUUGUGUGUGAAAUUUAUUAUUUUACUGUUUUGUUUAUUUUUAUUCUGAAUCUGAACCUUGAUUUGGGUUUUUGAAUUUGUAUACCCUUUUGUUAUUUUGGGUUUUAUUAUUCAAUUCACUUGUUAUUUCAUUGCAAUUUAAAGAGAAGGAUUGAAGACAAAAAAUAAUCAAUCAAAACAAUAUACUACAUUCUCUUCCAUA